rnacentral:rRNA from 1 species
CCUACGGGGGGCAGCAGUGAGGAAUAUUGGUCAAUGGGCGCGAGCCUGAACCAGCCAAGUAGCGUGAAGGAUGACUGCCCUACGGGUUGUAAACUUCUUUUAUAAGGGAAUAAAGUGAGGCACGUGUGCCUUUUUGUAUGUCCUUUAUGAAUAAGGCUCGGCUAACUCCGUGCCAGCAGCCGCGGUAAUACGGAGGAUGCGAGCGUUAUCCGGAUUUAUUGGGUUUAAAGGGAGCGUAGAUGGGUUGUUAAGUCAGUUGUGAAAGUUUGCGGCUCAACCGUAAAAUUGCAAUUGAUACUGGCAGUCUUGAGUACAGUUGAGGUAGGCGGAAUUCGUGGUGUAGCGGUGAAAUGCUUAGAUAUCACGAAGAACCCCGAUGGCGAAGGCAGCUUACUAAACUGUGACUGACAUUGAUGCUCGAAAGUGUGGGUAGCAAACAGGAUUAGAUACCCUUGUAGUC